GACGAACGCUGGCGGCGUGCCUAAUACAUGCAAGUUGAGCGCUGAAGGUUGGUACUUGUACCGACUGGAUGAGCAGCGAACGGGUGAGUAACGCGUGGGGAAUCUGCCUUUGAGCGGGGGACAACAUUUGGAAACGAAUGCUAAUACCGCAUAAAAACUUUAAACACAAGUUUUAAGUUUGAAAGAUGCAAUUGCAUCACUCAAAGAUGAUCCCGCGUUGUAUUAGCUAGUUGGUGAGGUAAAGGCUCACCAAGGCGAUGAUACAUAGCCGACCUGGGAGGGGGAUCGGCCACAUUGGGACUGGGACAAGGCCCAAAACCCUUAGGGAGGGAGCAGGAGGGGAACUUCGGCAAAGGACGGAAGUCUGGACGGGCAACGCCGGGUGGGGGAAGGAAGUUUUCGGGUCGUAAAACCCUGUUUGUAGGGGAGAACGUUGGUGGGAGUGGAAAGCUCAUCAAGUGACGGUAACUACCCAGAAAGGGACGGCUAACUACGUG
rnacentral:rRNA from 1 species